rnacentral:rRNA from 1 species
UACGUAGGUGGCGAGCGUUGUCCGGAUUUACUGGGCGUAAAGCGUGCGUAGACGGUUAUCUAAGUCGGAUGUGAAAGCCCCGGGCUCAACCUGGGAAUUGCAUUCGAGACUGAAUAGCUAGGGUGCGGUAGAGGGAAGCGGAAUUUCCGGUGUAGCGGUGAAAUGCGUAGAUAAUCGGGAGGAACACCAGUGGCGAAGGCGACUUCCUGGCCUGUUCUUGACGCUGAGGCGCGAAAGCUAGGGGAGCAACGGG